rnacentral:rRNA from 1 species
CAUGCAGUCGAACGCGAAAGUGGACUUCGGUCCGCGAGUAGAGUGGCGAACGGGUGAGUAACACGUGGGUAACCUACCCUGGAGCGGGGGACAACUCGAGGAAACUCGAGCUAAUACCGCAUACGUUUCGGCGAUUAUGAUCGCCGAAGGAAAGACAGCCUCUUCUUGAAAGCUGUCACUCUGGGAUGGGCCCGCGUCCGAUUAGCUUGUUGGUGGGGUAACGGCCUACCAAGGCGACGAUCGGUAGCCGGCCUGAGAGGGCGAUCGGCCACACUGGAACUGAGACACGGUCCAGACUCCUACGGGAGGCAGCAGUGGGGAAUAUUGCGCAAUGGGGGAAACCCUGACGCAGCAACGCCGCGUGAAGGAUGAAGGCCUUCGGGUCGUAAACUUCUGUCAGAAGGGAAGAAGGUUUGCGGGUUAAUAGCCCGUAAACUUGACGGUACCUUCAGAGGAAGCCCCGGCUAACUCCGUGCCAGCAGCCGCGGUAAUACGGAGGGGGCAAGCGUUAUUCGGAAUCAUUGGGCGUAAAGGGCGUGUAGGCGGCUUAACAGGUCAAAGGUGAAAUCCCUCGGCUCAACCGAGGAACUGCCUUUGAAACCUUUAGGCUAGAGGCCGGGAGAGGCUAGCGGAAUUCCCAGUGUAGCGGUGAAAUGCGUAGAUAUUGGGAGGAACACCAGUGGCGAAGCGGCUAGCUGGACCGGUUCUGACGCUGAGGCGCGAAAGCGUGGGGAGCAAACAGGAUUAGAUACCCUGGUAGUCCACGCUGUAAACGAUGGUCACUCGGUGCUGCGGGUAUCGACCCCUGCAGUGCCUUAGCUAACGCGUUAAGUGACCCGCCAUGCAGUCGCAUGCAGUCGGGCUGA